CACGUAGGGCGCAAGCGUUGUCCGGAAUUAUUGGGCGUAAAGAGCUCGUAGGCGGUUUGUUGCGUCGGCUGUGAAAUCCCGAGGCUCAACCUCGGGUCUGCAGUCGAUACGAGCAAACUAGAGUGUUGCAGGGGAGACUGGAAUUCCUGGUGUAGCGGUGAAAUGCGCAGAUAUCAGGAGGAACACCGGUGGCGAAGGCGGGUCUCUGGGCCGUAACUGACGCUGAGGAGCGAAAGCGUGGGGAGCGAACAGG
rnacentral:rRNA from 1 species